rnacentral:misc_RNA from 1 species
GAUGAAGAACGUAGCGAAAUGCGAUAAGUAAUGUGAAUUGCAGAAUUCAGUGAAUCAUCGAAUCUUUGAACGCACAUUGCGCCCGGUAGUAUUCUGCCGGGCAUGCCUGUUCGAGCGUCAUUUCAACCAUCAAGCCCCAGCGCUUGUGUUGGGGGCCUGCGGCUACCGCAGCCCCCUAAAAGCAGUGGCGGGCUCGCUAUCACACCGAGUGCAGUAGUUCAUCUUCUCUCCGGUCUUGUGAGGCGGGUUCCGGCCGUGAAACACCCCACUACAUUCAAGGUUGACCUCGGAUCAGGUAGGAAUACCCGCUGAACUUAAGCAUAUCAAUAAGCGGAGA